ACGCUCGACACCUACGGGGGGCAGCAGUGGGGAAUAUUGCACAAUGGGGGAAACCCUGAUGCAGCAACGCCGCGUGAGUGAAGAAGUAUUUCGGUAUGUAAAGCUCUAUCAGCAGGGAAGAUAAUGACGGUACCUGACUAAGAAGCUCCGGCUAAAUACGUGCCAGUAGCCGCGGUAAUCUGAGCGGCUGGCAAGGC
rnacentral:rRNA from 1 species